rnacentral:rRNA from 1 species
UACGGGGGAGGAGCAGUGUUGUCGGAAUUACUGGGCGUAAAGGGCUCGUAGGUGGCCAACUAAGUCAGACGUGAAAUCCCCAGGCUCAACUUGGGAACUGCGUCUGAUACUGGAUGGCUUGAAUUCGGGGAGAGGGAUGCAGAAUUCCAGGUGUAGCGGUGAAAUGCGUAGAUAUCUGGAGGAAUACCGGUGGCGAAGGCGGCAUCCUGGACCGAGAUUGACACUGAUGAGCGAAAGCUAGGGGAGCAAACGGG